GAAGCACGCCAGGCCGUCGCUGGUGCAAGCGCCGAAAGGCCGCACUGGAGGAACGUCCGGACUGCAGAGGGCAGCGUAGCAGGUAACACCUGUCCGCCGUGAGGCGAGGAUCAGAGCAACAGAGACGAGUCCGGAUUCGAGCGCAAGCGAGAUGAAGGGGUGAAACGGGCAAUCUCUACGCGCAGCAAUACCAAAUAGGCCAGCACGGGGGCAGGGCAACCUGCCCCCUUCACCGUGGUCCCGCGAGACGCUGGCGGGUAGGUAGCACCGAGCCGGUGGGGCGACCCCCGGCCCAGAGGAAUGACGGUCACGCGGGGGCGACCCCGCGCACAAAAUCCGGCGUAUCGGCGCGCUUCACAC
rnacentral:RNase_P_RNA from 1 species